rnacentral:rRNA from 1 species
UACGUAGGUGGCAAGCGUUAUCCGGAAUUAUUGGGCGUAAAGAGCGCGCAGGUGGUUGAUUAAGUCUGAUGUGAAAGCCCACGGCUUAACCGUGGAGGGUCAUUGGAAACUGGUCGACUUGAGUGCAGAAGAGGGAAGUGGAAUUCCAUGUGUAGCGGUGAAAUGCGUAGAGAUAUGGAGGAACACCAGUGGCGAAGGCGGCUUCCUGGUCUGUAACUGACACUGAGGCGCGAAAGCGUGGGGAUCAAACAGGAUUAGAUA